UAAAAAGUAAGCUAUUUAAGCUUUUGGGUUCAUACCUCAACUAUAGAUUAUUCUCUUUUUAA
rnacentral:tRNA from 1 species